AACGUAGGAGACAAGCGUUAUCCGGAGUUACUGGGCGUAAAGGGCGUGUAGGCGGUGAGGUAAGUCUGUUGUGAAAGCGCCUGGCUUAACCGGGCGAGGCCAAUGGAGACUGCCUGACUAGAGGGCGGUAGAGGGGUGUGGAAUUCCGGGUGUAGUGGUGAAAUGCGUAGAGAUCCGGAGGAACACCAGAGGCGAAGGCGACACUCUAGGCCGCACCUGACGCUGAGACGCGACAGCACGGGGAGCGAAC
rnacentral:rRNA from 1 species